CUCUGCUCUGCUCCCGGAGAGACCCGACAGUUCUGCUGGAGCAGAGACGCCAUGCUCAACUCUCCCAGGAUGGACAGAGGCUAGAAUCUUCCCGUGCGGAAACCACAAGAUUGGCAUCUAUGAGAUCCCUUCCAAGGGACUUGGCCUCUCUGAACCAAGCUGCUGAUUUGACUUUGCUAGGGAAACCAGUCGGAUUUUUAAAUGCUUUCGUGAUGUGAUCAGUAGACUGUAAUGGGAAAGAAUUUCCCUGAAACUUGACAUGCAGUCAGAAUCAGGAAGGACGAUGGGAAAGAACCGAGCGAUCUCAGCUACUCAGGAUACGGCGCUUUCCGACAUCUGGACACCCAAACAAGCAUUCUGCAUUCGACGUUAACUUUAAUGAAGUUUUUCCCGUGGAGCGAAUUGGAUGGUUACAUAUUUGGCAAUCAUCUUGUGGUUUGUUGCUUACACUACCUGACCCAAAGUUCAUUUUCCUCGUGUUGGCCGUGGGAAAGAAAAAAAAGUGUGAACGGCCAGAAUGUGAAGAAGGGUACAGAGCACAGUGCUCAGUGUUUAGCUGGCCAGCUUCAAUCAGGGGACGGUAAAAGAUCGCUUGCCAGCUGUCUGAGAUAUGAGGUAUAACAAAAGAGGGAAUAGGAGCUACUUGGUGGAGAAGCCCACAAAAUAGGAUGGUUAUUUUAUCUUUUAUACAAUCUUUUCUUUUUUUCAAAUUUUUAAAAAUUGAAAAUGGAUUUUCAUACAAUAUAUUCUGAUUAGUUUCCUCUCCCCCAAGUCCUCCCAGAUCUUCCCCAAUUCCCCACCCACUGAAGUGUGUGGAGAGAGAGUAUAUAUAUAUAUAUAUAUAAACUCUCUCCCAUUAGAAUAUAAACAGGCAUCUAAAAAAUAAUAAAAUAAUAAAACAUAAAAUAAAAACAGACAGAAUAGGAAUAGGAUGAAGUGAACUAGUUUCCAGAAGGAAAAGAAUGAAGGAAAAAGCCCUGGAAACACAUGUAGAAGCAGGGACACACAUAUUCACACACGUGUAGAAAUAGAGACACACAUGUUCACAUGUGUAGAAGCAGAGAUGUACAUGUUCACACACUUGUAGAAGCAGAGACACACAUGUUCACACGCAUGUAGAAGCAGAGACACACAUGUUCACAAACACAGGAAUUUCAUAACAACACAAUUGCAGAAACCAUCAUAUACAAGAGACAUAUAAGGAAAAACAAAGCAAAACAAGCAAACAAGAGCAAAACAAAAUAUUAAGACUCCAAAAGUAUGCCUAAAGUUUUAUGAGAUAAGGAACCUUCCAAAAUGCCUUUGAGCUUGUCUAGUGAUGGCUGUCUCAUGCUGGGCAUGGGGUCUGUCUUUCACAUUGGUUUAUCUUUUUAAAAAAAUCCUGAAAUAAAAGGCCACUGUUUUGCCUACAUUGUUUUGAUUCCUAUCAAAGACCCAUUAGAGCAGUGGUUCUAAACUUUCCUUAACACUGGUAUCGUUCCAUUCUUUAUGCUGUGGUGACCCCCAACCAUAACAUUAUUUUCAUUCCUACUCUGUAACUAUAAUUUGGCUACUGUUAUGAAUCAUAAUAAUAUUUUUGAAGAUGGAGGCUUUCCAAGGAGUUGUGCCCCACAUGCUAAGAACCUCUGAAUUAGAUGAACAACUGUCCUGGCUCAAAAAAAAAAAAUGCUUUCAGGAGGCUCAUCGACAGAUGUUCAGGUUUGUCAUUUAAAGAUCUCUGAACAGAAAUAUCACCUAGUGUGCUGAAAAAACAUUUGGAGCCCCCUUUACAAUGUAUUUAAGCAAAUACAUUGUAAAGUAAAGGUCAUGGCUAUCUCCAAGUGCUGUUUUGAGGAGUUGGAGGGAAAAGAAGAGGAUGGGUCAUGAAAAUAUGGUGUUGGAGGGAGCAAGGUACUCUAUCACAUCAGCAAGAACACAGGGAAUGUCUGUGUGACCAGCCCAAGCUCUGUUGUGUGCAUAGAUGAUUAUAUGUGGAGUGUGAGUGUAACUGUGGUACCUAUCCGAGUAGUUGUAAGCAUAUGUGUGCAUAUGUGGGUAUAUGUUGUAUGUGUACAUGACAACAUGUUUAUGUGUGCAUGAUGACUUGGGUAUGUAUGAAUACAUAAAAUGCUUUUGGCUCUGCCCUGUCAAAAAUGGCAGAGGUUCAUUCAGUGCCAGCUCUGCGAGUCAUGCUCCCAGCCCCAUUUCCAGGUACACAGCUGGUCUAUAUUGCCAUUAAGCAAGUUGUAGCACUCUGCUCACUGUUGAAAUAGGAGCGGCGGCAGGGCUGCGUCCCAAGAGCCAGAGUUCAUGCUGCCAGCAUGAAUCAGGAAGCCUUCCCUUAAAGAAGCUACUCAGUUUUUGCCAGUAAAGCUGAGUCAGGAAACCUCUUAAAGGAGCCAUGCCUCUGCCUGCCAUCAACAAACAAAGCAUAUUUAAAAAUAUGUGGCUCCCAACAAGCUCCAAUUGACUCCCAUUUCUAUGGGUUUAGAAGCCCUCUUUUUUCUUUUUUAAAGCCUUUUUUAGGUCUUAUGUAGAUCUAUGCCCACCCCCCAAAUUGUAAGCAUCAUUCUCUUGGCAGAGACAUGCUCAUUUGUUCCCCGGCCACUCAGACCCAAAAUAAUCACUCAGAAACUAUAUUAAUUACAACACUUCUUAGCCAAUUAGCUUAUGCCUAUUUAUAGCUAACUCUUAUAUCUUUAACAAACCCUCUCUAUUUAUCUGUGGGUCAGCACUAGAUUGUGGCCUACCAACAAGUUUCCGAUGCCUGUCUUCUCCUGCAGCUACAUGGCAUCCCACUGACUCCACCUUCUUUCUCCCAGCAUUCAGUUUAGUUUUCCCACAUAGCUCUACUGUGCCCUAUCACAGGCCCAGACAGCUUCUUUUUUCAUCAACCAAUAAAAACAGCACAUAGACUGAAGGACUUCCCACAUUGUUAAUAAAUAAUAUAGAUAAUAAUACUAUAAAGCACACAGUCAAAGAAACAGGAAUAUAUCUUAUUUUCUAACUACAUAAACUUCACUGUCUUGGAAGCCAGUCAAGACUCCUUUCCCCACUCUUAGAAGCUCUGUGACCCUGGAUAUGUCACUCAACCGCUCAGGUGUCCCCCCAACCUCCUCACAGAGUCAUCACAGCCCAUCCUACACCACACUCUAAUUAUUAACUCACUUGUGUUUCUUUUCAAUAGUACUGUGAAUAUUUUGUACUUGUAUUUCUUCUCGAUAGUACUGUGAAUAUUUUGUAGUGUCUUAAGUGAGAAUUCCUAACAUCUAGCCCACUGUCUACCAACUAGAGGAGGUCACAAAUAAAUAUAUAAUUCUGAAAUGGCAACUAAUUAGUGGUCUCAAUGUGACACAACUUGUAAAGGAAAUUUAGAGGUGAAAAUUGGAAGACAAGAAAGGGGACUGUAAAAGGACUGCCGAGGAAACUGGA